rnacentral:rRNA from 1 species
GACGAACGCUGGCGGCGUGCCUAAUACAUGCAAGUCGAGCGCUGAAGGUUGGUUCUUGUACCCACUGGAUGAGCAGCGCACGGGUGAGUAACGCGUGGGGACUCUGCCUUUGAGCGGGGGACCACCUUUGGACACGAAUGCUAAUACCGCAUAAAAACUUUCAACACAAGUUUUAUGUUUGAAAGAUGCAAUUGCAUCACUCAAAGAUGAUUCCUCGUUGUAUUAGCUAGUUGGUGGGGUACAGGCUCAUCAAGGCGAUGUUAGCUAGCCGACCGGACAGGGUGAGUGGCCACAUUGGGAGGGAGACACGGCCCAAACGCCUAGGGGAGGGAGCAGUACGGAAUCGUCAGGAAUGGACGAAAGGCUGACCAAGCAAGGCGGCGGGAGUGAAGAAGGAUGCCGGGUCGUAAAACUCUGUUUGUAGAGAGGAACGUUGGUGAGAGUGGAAGGCUCAGCAAGUGACGGUAACGAGCCAGAAAGGGACGGCUAACUACGUG